UCAGAUUGAACGCUGGCGGCAUGCUUUACACAUGCAAGUCGAACGGCAGCACGGGGGCAACCCUGGUGGCGAGUGGCGAACGGGUGAGUAAUGCAUCGGAACGUACCCAGUCGUGGGGAUAACGCAGCGAAAGUUGUGCUAAUACCGCAUACGACCUGAGGGUGAAAGCGGGGGACCGUAAGGCCUCGCGCGAUUGGAGCGGCCGAUGUCUGAUUAGCUAGUUGGUGGGGUAAAAGGCCCCACCAAGGCGACGAUCAGUAGCGGGUCUGAGAGGAUGAUCCGCCACACUGGGACUGAGACACGGCCCAGACUCCUACGGGAGGCAGCAGUGGGGAAUUUUGGACAAUGGGGGCAACCCUGAUCCAGCCAUGCCGCGUGCGGGAAGAAGGCCUUCGGGUUGUAAACCGCUUUCAGACGGAAAAGAAAUCGCAUGGACUAAUACUCUGUGUGGAUGACGGUACCGUAAGAAGAAGCACCGGCU
rnacentral:rRNA from 1 species